CUUGUCCUUGUCUUUGGGGAGCAAAGUAUUCAAUGAUCGUUUAGUGAGAAUGCUGUUGCUGAAACCCAUUAAUAAAAUUAGACUGCAUCCGUUUUAAAUUACGAGAUGCAAUUUUUGUAAAG